UGGGGAAUAUUGCACAAUGGGGGAAACCCUGAUGCAGCGACGCCGCGUGAGUGAAGAAGUAUUUCGGUAUGUAAAGCUCUAUCAGCAGGGAAGAAAAUGACGGUACCUGACUAAGAAGCCCCGGCUAACUACGUGCCAGCAGCCGCGGUAAUACGUAGGGGGCAAGCGUUAUCCGGAUUUACUGGGUGUAAAGGGAGCGUAGACGGUAAUGCAAGUCUGGAGUGAAAACCCGGGGCUCAACCCCGGGACUGCUUUGGAAACUGUAUAACUGGAGUGCCGGAGAGGUAAGCGGAAUUCCUAGUGUAGCGGUGAAAUGCGUAGAUAUUAGGAGGAACACCAGUGGCGAAGGCGGCUUACUGGACGGUAACUGACGUUGAGGCUCGAAAGCGUGGGGAGCAAACA
rnacentral:rRNA from 1 species